rnacentral:lncRNA from 1 species
GGGACAGUCAACCGGGCAGAGAUACCAGAGUCAACAGUCACCCCUCCACAUCCAGCUAAGGUGACCAGAGUCUUGCUCCAUAAGGGAAGAGAAAGCAGGCAUUUGAAAAAGCUCCUGGGGAUCGUGGUACCCACACCUGGCUGAGAUGACCUCUGAGGACCCUGCAGUCCUAGCACUGUGGGAUUCUGUGAUGUGAUCUAACUCAAAGCCUGCUGAGACUGUGCGGUGGAGACAUAUAUUACAGCCGGAGCUUUUUAUCUCGCACAUGUGACCCUGCCCAUCAUGAGCUGUAAGGCAACUGAGACUCAGAAGGUCACAGACACAGCUGGUAAAUAAAGCUGGAAUUGAAG